AUGGUGCUUGUAAAAGCACCAAACACUUGGUGCUUGUAAGUUUUUUACCGUUAGAUCUACUCCUCGGAUCAUUUUCAACCAUUAGAUUAAGUACCAAGUUUGUCACGCUCCGAGACCGCUACCCAUUUGGUCCGGUUCGGGCACGUCGAACAGACAUCGAACGGACAGCAUCUCCCCUGUCCGCCCAAAACUCAAGCACGGGAUCAUGUAUAAGAAUUCCCCCGGAAAUAAUUUAAUACAUAUAUAAUCCAUACAACGACAAUAGAAGCACCAUAAGUGCGUAACAACAAGAGCAAGUAACACAAAUAUCUAUACAAGUGCAUAAAAAGAGAGUUCUAUUUAUUACAUCAUGAUUUGUACAUUUAUACAAUUUACAUUUUCGAUUCAUCCAAAAUAUAGAUACAGCUUCAUUCACAUCUCUCCAAAAUGCAUCUCACAACCUAUACAUCAUCUACUCUCAUAUAUGUAGGCACCUCUAAUGCAACUGGAGGGAUACUAAUGCUAGGGCGCUAAGCCCUUACCGCGAUCCUCGCCCGGAGCGCUCGUACUCGGCCCUGCAAUAAAGUGGGGUGAGAACUAUUGUCCAUAUUUCACAGUGGGUUCGGCCGCCAACUCCGCCGAUCUCCCCACUAGGUCCAAGUGGGCACAAACAGAUAGAUAGGUAGAUAGAUAUAUGAAAGCAGUAACAACAUAGUAAGAAAGUUAUGCUACUGUGCCCGAAUCAUAUACAAUGUAUGCAUGCACAAUGUGAUUAAUAAAGUAAUCAACUAACAUGUCACUAUGUCCAAGAAGUAAUAUUGUUUACUUGUUCAUCAAUUCUUUUGGCUUAUCCAAUCCUUGGCCAACCCGGAGGUUCGCCCACGACUCACAUGCAUCUCGUGGUAAGGAGACUCAACUCCCUCACAAACCCGAGACCGUCUGCGGGGCCCCAUAAGGCUAUCCCAGGGACCCAUAAGACUAUCCCUCAUGUGACAAAACUCCGGAGCGCACACUUGUGAGGAGCAACCAACACAAGUUCUGAACAGACAGCGAGUAUGAUCCAAUCCUCUCAACUCGAUAAUACCCUACCCACUAGGGCUAACAGUCACUCGGGAACCCACCUAUCCCAAUGUCCAUAUGCAAGUGUUUAACUACACUAAGUUCUUAUUCAAUGACUCAUCACUAGGGAAUCCGCCUAUCCCUAAGUUCACAUGUCAAGUGUCAUUUUUACACUAAGUUAUAUGCUACUCGUUCUGUUGUCAUUGUUAUUUACAUGCCACUCGUUAUGUCUUAUCAACCAUCGAGUCCAUCUCUUAUCUCAGCACUAUAGGAUUCAAUGUCUCGACCCAAUCCUUAUCUAUCCAUUAUAUCAAGCAUUCAACUCACACUAAUGAUAUUGUCUAGAAAAGCAUAAGGAAAAAGGAAUUCCACAUUUAUCCUACAAUGCAUAUAUGCAAGAGAUGCAAGAUUUAAAAGGCACUAAGACAUAAAGAGGAGCCCGGUUGCUUCGGGAUGACACCACCCACCUUGUGGCGUUGUCACAACUGUAGGAAUGAAGUUCGCCGAUUUUACAACGUCGUCUCGGCCUCCUAGGCUGAAACGAAACUCGGAAGACCCCUUUUUGCCGUAACUUUGCACUCGCUCGACGAAUCGUCGAACCGUCUUCGCCUACGCGUUUAAACACCUAGCAGUUAGGUUUACACUUGAUCAAUUUAGAUCAAUACCCAACAAAUCACAAAACCCCAUUUUUGGAGCCCUAACUUGCAAUUAUGUAAGAAUCAAACUCUAAAUCCUCAAACUCAUGCAUAAAGCAUCUCUUUAGCAUGCUAGAGUUCUAUUUAAACCAAUUCUAGAGUAUAAAGUCCAAACCCUAGAAGUUCACCAUGAUUGAGCUUCAAGCUUUCCUCCAAAAGCUAGCUCCAAGGUGUAGAGGAAGAAGAAGAAGAUGAAGAUCCCUCUCCUUGCUUGCUUCUCCACCAAAUCCCUUCUCUUCUUCACCUUCUAGAGAGAGAGGAAGAGAGAUUAGAGGAAGAGAGGCUUUAGGUUUGUAUUUAGAGUUGAGGAAAUGAGAAGAGAGAGAGCAUACUCUCAUAUAGCCUCUACUUAUGCUACAAUUGCAUAAAAACCCCUCAACUUUGCUUUCAUGACACAGCCCAUCUCGGGUAGAUUGGGGCUACGGGGACCGGUCUCUCCCUACCAGGGACCGGUCCCUCAAGACCUCCCCAAAUCUACGCGUUCGGGAACCAGUCCCUAUGGCCCGGGGACUGGUUGCAUCACGCGUCGCCGCAACCACCAGCCGAUGGGACCGGUUCCUGAGAGCAAACCCGCGCAGACUAUGUUCGGAAACCGGUCCCUCCCACAAGGGACCGGUCCCCGAGAGUAAAUCUGCCAAGUGCAGGAUUUCAUAUCAUUUGCUCUCGCAGACUCCAUUCCAAUGCACCUUUGGCCAUUUUGAUGCCUUCGGCUUUUCCGAAGCACACCAAGUCGACAAUCAGUCGAUUCUAACUGAAGUCCAACUCUAGUAUUUCGAGAAUUUACUUCCUUACAUCCUCCCCACCUUUAAAAGAGUUUCGUCCUCGAAACGAACUCAAUUCUUAAUUAAACUCGAACUUAAUUCAUACCUUACUCACGCCUCAAAAAGAUGAGGGUACUUCGCUUUCAUUCCGUCCUCAAGUUCCCACGUAGCUUCGCGAUCGUUAUGCUUGGUCCAUCGAACCUUGACGUAGGGAAUUUCGCGAUUUCGCAACUUUCGUACUUCUCGAGCAAUAAUCAACGCCGGAUAUCCUUAUAGCUCAAGUCCUCGCGUAAUUCCGGCGGUUCAUAUGAUAAUACAUGCUCGGGAUCGUGGAUAUAUUUGUGGAGUUUGGAGACAUGAAAGACAUUGUGAACAUCGGCGAGUUUCGGCGGCAAUGCGAGCCGAUAAGCCACCGCACCAAUCCGCUCCAACACCUCGUAUGGUCCAAUGUAUCGGGGACUCAACUUUCCCCGCACUCCGAACCGCUUCACGCCUCUCAUGGGCGACACCUUUAAGAAGAUGCAGUCGCCCACCAUGAAUUCCAAAUCUCUACGGCGCUUAUUAGCAUAACUCCUUUGGCGAGCGAGACGGACUUUCUCCUCCGCCUCUCGCAAAACAUUGGGGCCUAGAACCGCACGCUCGCCUACCUCACUCCAAUGAAUAGGAGAUCGGCACUUCCCCGUAAAGAGCUUCGAACGGUGCCAUCCCUAUGCUAGUCUGAUAACUGUUGUUGUAGGCGAACUCGGCCAUCGGCAAAUGAUUACUCCAACUGCCCUUGUAAUCAAUGACACACGCCCGCAACAUAUCCUCCAGAAUUUGUAUAGUCCUCUCUGACUGUCCAUCUGUCUGAGGAUGAAAAGCAGUGCUGAAAUCGAGCCGUGUGCCCAACGCUUCUUGCAGGCUCUUCCAAAAAUGCGAAGUGAACCGGGGGUCUCGAUCCGAUACGAUUGACUUUGGCACCCCGUGCAACCUCACAAUAUCAUCAAGGUAUACCUGCGCUAGCCUAUCACCUGCCCUAGUCAUGUGGAUCGGUAGAAAGUGUGCCGACUUCGUCAAACGAUCCACAAUCACCCAGAUUGCAUCAUGGCCACUCGAUGAACGAGGCAAGCCGACCAUGAAGUCCAUGGUCACAUCCUCCCAUUUCCAAGUGGGGAUAGGUAAACUCUAAAGCUUUCCCGCUGGAAAUCGGCGCUCUGCUUUGACCUGCUCGCAUACUAAGCACUACGCCACAUAGCGUCCAAUAUCGACUUUCAUUCCCGGCCAUCAAUAAUGCUGUUUCAGAUCUUGAUACAUCUUGGUGCCGCCCGGGUGGAUGCUAUAAGGCGACCAAUGCGCUUCCUUCAGAAUCAGCUUUCGAAUUUCUUCAUUGUCCGGUACACACCACCGGUUCCAAAACCGAAGCACACCCUCGGUGUCUACACUGAAAUCGCCGGCGCGUCCACUCUCGAUGUAGCGCCGUACCUUUUGGAGAGCUGGAUCUGCAGGUUGCAAUCCUUUAAUCCUCUCCAACAGGGUUGGUUGGACAACGAGAGUUGACAACAGAGCCGGAACCUCUGGAGCUACAACCUCGAGAACAAUCCGCCCCAUUUCCUUCCAUAGGGGCUCCUAAUUCAUGACCCACAUCGCGAGGUUCUCCGCCGACUUUCUACUAAGUGCAUCAACGACUACAUUCGCCUUCCCAGGGUGGUAGAGAAUAUCGAGAUCAUAAUCCUUGGGCAGCUCUAACCACCGCCGUUGUCGCAUGUUCAACUCCUUUUGCGUGAACAAAUACUUUAGACUCUUGUGGUCAGUAUACACUUCGCAACGCGCGCCAUACAAGUAAUGCCUCCUCAACUUGAGAGAAAAUACCACCGCGGCUAACUCCAAGUCAUGGACAGGAUAGUUCUUCUCACAGCUUUUCAACUGACGGGACGCAUACGCGAUCACCUUCCCGCCUUGCAUCAGAACACACCCCAAUCCUGAAUAGGACGCGUCACUGUAAACCACAAAGUCCUCAUCUGGCACCGGUAAAGCAAGCACCGGAGUCGAAGUCAACUUCUCCUUCAACUCGUUGAAACUCUAGUCGCAUUCCUCACUUCAAACAAACUUGGUGUCCUUCUGAGUCAAACGGGUAAGUGGAAUAACUAUUUUCGAGAAACCCUCCACGAACCAUCUAUAAUAGCCUGCCAAGCCCACGAAGCUUCGAACCUCCGUGACAUUAGUCGGGCGCGGCCAAUCUUUGAUCGCCUCCACUUUCCUCGGGUCAACAGAUAUACCACCCUCGGAAAUAACAUGCCCCAGAAAUGCGACCUCUCGGAGCCAAAAAUCGCACUUCUUUAACUUUGCAUACAACUUCUCCUCCCCGCAGGAUUUGAAGCACUAGCCUUAGAUGCUCGGCAUGCUCCUCGUCACUACGUGAAUAGACCAAAAUGUCGUCUAUAAAAACCACGACGAAUCGGUCCAAGUACUCCUUGAAGACACGGUUCAUUAAAUCCAUGAAUGCUGCCGGGGCGUUCGUGAGCCCAAACAGCAUGACCGUAACUUCAUAGUGCCCAUACCGCGUGCGGAACGCGGUCUUCUGAACAUCUUUCGGCUUUAUCUUCAGCUGGUGAUAACCGGACUGUAAGUCUAUCUUUGAGUACACACACGACCCCUGCAGUUGAUCAAACAAAUCAUCGAUUCAGGGCAGUAGGUACUUAUUCUUGAUCGUGACCUUGUUCAACUCGCGAUAAUCCACACAGAGUCAAAACGAUCCAUCUUUCUUCUGCACAAAUAAUAUCGGGGCUCCCCACGGUGACACACUCGGCCUGAUGAAUUCCUUGUCGAGGAGAUCUUGCAAUUGAGCCCUCAACUCCUUUAACUCAGCCGGCGCCACCCGAUACGGGGCCUUUGAGAUCGGCGCCGUUCCGGGGAUCAAGUCUAUCACAAACUCGAUCUUUCGAUUAGGCGGCAUCCCCGGUAACUCCGUAGGAAACACGUCCAGAAAUUCCCGAACCACCGACAACUCCUCGAGUACCGGAACUACUCGAUCCACUUCCACGACGGUCGCCAAAUAAGCCACGCAACCGCUGUUAACCAAUUUCCUCGCUCUCAUCGCAGACACCGUCGCGACGAAGCAUGAGCUCUUGCACGCUCGAUAUGUGAACUCCUCCUGUCCUGGCUCCCGAAACGUUACCACCUUAUGUCUACAAUCAAUAGACGCGUAGUAUUUCGAAAGCCAGUCCAUGCCCAGUAUAAUGUCGAAGUCUUUUAACCUCUUGAGCAUCAACAUCCGAAUUGGCAUGAUCCAGUCGCCUACUUGAACUGGACACGUCGGACAUUCCUUACAAAUAACGAACGCACCCCCGGGGCCCUCUACUCGCCAGGUGCUCUUACUUGCAUGAAUGCCAAUGUCAUGCAUUUGUGCAAAUGAUCUACUAAUGAAUGAAUGCGUGGCACUUGUAUCAAACAUAGCCCUGGAGCGAACUCCGUCAAUUAAAACCAUACCUGCCACGACGUGGCGCUCCUCGGCUUCAACAGACUAUUCGGCUUGAGCGGCGAAUACCCGUCCGCUCAGAGCCAAUCGCGUCAUCUCAAGCUGACGUAGCGCCAUCGCACGUCCAGCCGAUGCUGCUGCCGGUGGGGUUCCUCUAUAGUGGGCCGGAGUCGCUGGAGCCGAUGCAACGGACGGGGCAAGCAAGGCUCCUCCAGGACAGUCACAAAUAAAGUGUCCCUCUUGCCCACACUUGAAGCAUUUCCCCUGCCACUGAUUGCAACGCGACGCGGGGUGGUCUCCACCACAAAUGACACACCGCGGCGCUCCACGGCCUAUGGACUGCGAUCGCGGAUACUUCAGGGGCUUCUUGGAACUGGAUUGUCCCCCCGAACCACCGCCUUGACGCUUCUUUCCCUUGUCCUUUGACUCGGCCAUCACCUCACGCUCCUCUCGCACGUGGGCAUCACCGUGCUCCGCCCACAAUGCUCGGUCAAAUAUCUCGGCAAAGGUCGUGAGCUUGAACAGUUGCACGGCCCUAUAUGUCCCUGGCCGAAGCCCUCGCAAAAACCAAUCGGCUCGGUCCCGAUCAUCUCAAACAACAUCCGGGACACAAUCUAUGAUAUGGGAGAAUUCCUGUUCAUAGUCCGCUACUGAACGAUCCCCCUGUCUCAACUUACGAAACUUCUCCUGUAGUUUCCGUUUCACAGUGUCGGGGAAGUAAUUUGCGAACAUUGUUUUCUUAAACUCCUCCCAUAACAUCAGCGGAAGGUCGGAAGAUGGUCUCGCUUCACCCGCUUCCACCAUACCUUCGCCGCCUUCUCGAGGCAAUGGGUGGCGAGGUAUACUUUAUCCUUCUCCAAGGUGGAUAAGUCCUCAAAGAGCGUCUCCAUUGAGUCAACCCACGACUCCACCAUCGACGGCUCCACCUUCUCCCCCUCGAAAAUAGGUAGAUCGAACUUCCUGAACUUGAUAAGAGCCGCCAACGCAUGCUCCCGUACCACCUCCUCGGCCGCCGCAUCGAGUGUCGCCGAACCCCAGGCCGCCGGAUGAACACUCGCCGGCGGGGGACGUGCCGCCACCGGAACCGCCGCUAUGCCCUCACCCUCAGCCGCCUCAGGCACGCGUGCCGAGGGGGCGAGCGGAUCACGACCUUCAGUCGCCAUCGCGGUCGCUGCCGCAACCUGCUGCUCCAUAAGCUCUUGGAGCCGCUCGAACCGACUCUCUUGGCGCUGCACCACGCCAGCUAGCGCAGUCAUUUGCACCCGCAACUCUUGCACUUCGCGAGAUCCAGCUUGCGCGGGCACCUCAAAAGGCGGUGCCGGAACGGAUCUACGCGUGUAGCGCCUUCGGGACAUUAGCUCCUGAAACAUAACCAACUUGGUUAAUCACCUUAACCCUUAAAACCUCAUCGCACUUACAAAACAACGCGACUCGACAUCGCAAUUAGGCGGAAGCACACAAGUGUACUCAUUCUAGACUUUUAGUGUCAUGUUGUCGGCCGCAAACACAACCACUGCGAGUCGAGGACUCAUACCACUUGAAUCUGUUUCCAGUCAUUACUAGAAACAUAGUUCAAUCCUGACCCAAUCGAUCAACUCCCACCACAUCAUAGGCUCACGUCUCACUCACGCACCUAUAGCCUUAAGGUUUCCAUCCUAGGGCCUCCUAGGUCACUCCUAGACUUCUCUCUUUACUUGCUCUUACUUGCUGCUCUGAUACCACAAACACCUGUCACGCCCCGAGACCGCUACCCAUUUGGUCUGGUUCGGGCACGUCGAAGACGUCGAACGGACAGUACCUCCCCUAUCCGCCCAAGGCUCAAGCACGGGAUCACGUACAAGAAUUCCCCUAGGAACAAUUCAAUACAUACAUGAUACAUACAACGACAAUAGAAGCACCACAAGUGCAUAACAACAAGAGCAAGUAACACAAGUAUCUAUACAAGUGCAUAAAAAGAGAGUUCUAUCUAUUACAUCAUGAUUUGUACAUUUAUACAAUUUACAUUUUCGUUUCAUCCAAAAUGUAGAUACAGGUUCAUUCACAUCUCUCCAAAAUGCAUCUCACAACCUAUACAUCAUCUACUCUCAUAUGUGUAGGCACCUCUAAUGCAACUGGAGGGAUACUAAUGCUAGGGCACUAAGCCCUUACCGCGAUCCUCGCCCGGAGCGCUCGUACUCGGCCCUGCAAUAAAGUGGGACGAGAACUAUUGUCCAUAGUUCCUAGUGGGUUCGGCCGCCGACUCCGCCGAUCUCCCCACUAGGUCCAAGUGGGCACAAGCAGAUAGAUAGGUAGAUAGAUAUAUGAAAACAGUAACAACAUAGUAA
rnacentral:lncRNA from 1 species